rnacentral:rRNA from 1 species
GGAAUAAUGAAAUAGGACGGCGCUCCUAUUUUGUUGGUUUCUAGGAGAGCCGUAAUGAUUAAUAGGGACAGUUGGGGGCAUCCGUAUUCAGUUGUCAGAGGUGAAAUUCUUGGAUUUACUGAAGACGAACUACUGCGAAAGCAUUUGCCAAAGAUGUUUUCAUUAAUCAGUGAACGAAAGUUAGGGGAUCGAAGACGAUCAGAUACCGUCGUAGUCUUAACCAUAAACUAUGCCGACUAGGGAUCGGGCGAUGUUAUUGUAUUGACUCGCUCGGCACCUUUCGAGAAAUCAAAGUGUUUGGGUUCUGGGGGGAGUAUGGUCGCAAGGCUGAAACUUAAAGAAAUUGACGGAAGGGCACCACCAGGAGUGGAGCCUGCGGCUUAAUUUGACUCAACACGGGGAAACUCACCAGGUCCAGAUACACAUAGGAUUGACAGAUUGAGAGCUCUUUCUUGAUUGUGUAGUUGGUGGUGCAUGGCCGUUCUUAGUUGGUGGAGUGAUUUGUCUGCUUAAUUGCGAUAACGAACGAGACCUUCAUCGUUAACUAGCCCGGCUCGCCUUGGCGGGUCGCCGGCUUCUUAGCGAGACUUUUGGCUUAAGCCAAAGGAAGUUGGAGGCAAUAACAGGUCUGUGAUGCCCUUAGAUGUUCUGGGCUGCACGCGCGCUACACUGACAGAGGCAACGAGUUUCGUUCCUUGGCCGGAAGGCCUGGGUAAUCUUGUAACUGCCC